GGUUCUAUAGUGUAGCUGGUUAUCACAUCGGAUUCUGAUUCCUUCGAAUUAUCUCUUUCCGGUAACUUGGGUUCGAAUCCCAAUAGGACCU
rnacentral:tRNA from 1 species